GGGGAAUAUUGGACAAUGGGCGCAAGCCUGAUCCAGCCAUGCCGCGUGAGUGAUGAAGGCCCUAGGGUUGUAAAGCUCUUUUGUGCGGGAAGAUAAUGACGGUACCGCAAGAAUAAGCCCCGGCUAACUUCGUGCCAGCAGCCGCGGUAAUACGAAGGGGGCUAGCGUUGCUCGGAAUUACUGGGCGUAAAGGGUGCGUAGGCGGGUCUUUAAGUCAGGGGUGAAAUCCUGGAGCUCAACUCCAGAACUGCCUUUGAUACUGAGGAUCUUGAGUUCGGGAGAGGUGAGUGGAACUGCGAGUGUAGAGGUGAAAUUCGUAGAUAUUCGCAAGAACACCAGUGGCGAAGGCGGCUCACUGGCCCGAUACUGACGCUGAGGCACGAAAGCGUGGGGAGCAAAC
rnacentral:rRNA from 1 species